rnacentral:lncRNA from 1 species
CUAGUGGACAUUCUGUGAUUCUGUGGUAUUUAUUUAAUCUGUUAUUUUAAAAAGGCUACAGGUACCGACUGCACUGAAACACAGAUAAAUUGCUGAGAAUCAGAUACAAGCCUUUUUUUCCUUUCUCUUGAAGAAAAGUAAGCGCAGCUUCUCCAUCUUUGCUGUAAGGUGUCAACACACAUGGAAUCUCUCAGAUUCACAGCCAACAUCCAGCAGGCAGUGAAAGAAAAGAGCAUCAGGGAAUCAUGCAGUAAAGCUCAGAUACCUCUCCCUUCCCCUCCUUGGCCUUAACAAACGUCUCCAAGAACCUCUACCAUUCACAGAGCAGAGAGAGAAGCGAGGGGAUGUGGCCUCUGCACAGACAAGAGAGGCAGCACAGGCAAACAGCAAGGCAAAGGUAGGCACACUUAAAUCCCUGCAGGUAAUGACUUAAGCAAGAAGCAACAUCGGUGUGAACACCUUGUAACUUUAUCAA